UAGCUUCGACUCUUCAGUAGCUCUUGGAUCUUCGAUGUCCUCCUCUCAGGCCUCGACGACCCAAAUAUGGGAUGAUGUAUAUAUCGAGGAGGUCGUGCAAAGACUUUUUUGCUAGCAACCUCAAAGCUUCCAGGAUGCCGUCCGCUAGAUGGUUGUUGAGAUUCUUUGGGAUGUGUAUUUGUACGAUCAGCUGAGCUCGUUGUCACAGCCA
rnacentral:lncRNA from 1 species